GCUCGCGAGGGAAACAACCCAGAUCGUCAGCUAAGGUCCCAAAAUUGUGUUAAGUGAGAAAGGUUGUGAGAUUUCAUAAACAACUAGGAAGUUGGCUUAGAAGCAGCCACCUUUUAAAGAGUGCGUAAUUGCUCACUAGUCAAGAGAUCUUGCGCCAAUAAUGUAACGGGACUCAAACACAAUACCGAAGCUACGGGCACAUUAUGUGCGUUAGGAGAGCGUUUUAAUUUCGUUGAAGUCAGACCGUGAGGACUGGUGGAGAGAUUAAAAGUGAGAAUGCCGGCAUGAGUAACGAUUCGAAGUGAGAAUCUUCGACGCCUAUUGGGAAAGGUUUCCUGGGCAAGGUUCGUCCACCCAGGGUUAGUCAGGGCCUAAGAUGAGGCAGAAAUGCAUAGUCGAUGGACAACAGGUUAAUAUUCCUGUACUUGGUAAAAGAAUGAUGGAGUGACGAAAAAGGAUAGUUCUACCACUUACUGGAUUGUGGGGUAAGCAACAAGAGAGUUAUAUAGGCAAAUCCGUAUAGCAUAAUCUUGAGUUGUGAUGCAUAGUGAAGACUUCGGUCGAGUAACGAAUUGAAUGAUUUCAUGUUUCCAAGAAAAGCUUCUAGUGUUAAUUUUUUAUCAACCUGUACCGAGAACGAACACACGUUCCCAAGAUGAGUAUUCUAAGGCGAGCGAGAAAACCAAUGUUAAGGAACUCUGCAAAAUAACCCCGUAAGUUCGCGAGAAGGGGU
rnacentral:rRNA from 1 species